UGUUUAUCUCUUGGACUUACAAGC
rnacentral:piRNA from 1 species